rnacentral:tmRNA from 1 species
GGGGCUGAUUCUGGAUUCGACGGGAUUUGCGAAACCCAAGGUGCAUGCCGAGGGGCGGUUGGCCUCGUAAAAAGCCGCAAAAAAUAGUCGCAAACGACGAAAACUACGCUUUAGCAGCUUAAUAACCUGCUUAAAGCCCUCUCUCCCUAGCCUCCGCUCUUAGGACGGGGAUCAAGAGAGGUCAAACCCAAAAGAGAUCGCGUGGAAGCCCUGCCUGGGGUUGAAGCGUUAAAACUUAAUCAGGCUAGUUUGUUAGUGGCGUGUCCGUCCGCAGCUGGCAAGCGAAUGUAAAGACUGACUAAGCAUGUAGUACCGAGGACGUAGGAAUUUCGGACGCGGGUUCAACUCCCGCCAGCUCCACCA